rnacentral:rRNA from 1 species
AACGAACGCUGGCGGCAGGCUUAACACAUGCAAGUCGAGCGCCCCGCAAGGGGAGCGGCAGACGGGUGAGUAACGCGUGGGAGUCUACCCAUCUCUACGGAAUAACGCAUGGAAACGUGUGCUAAUACCGUAUACGUCCUUCGGGAGAAAGAUUUAUCGGAGAUGGAUGAGCCCGCGUUGGAUUAGCUAGUUGGUGGGGUAAAGGCCUACCAAGGCGACGAUCCAUAGCUGGUCUGAGAGGAUGACCAGCCACACUGGGACUGAGACACGGCCCAGACUCCUACGGGAGGCAGCAGUGGGGAAUAUUGGACAAUGGGCGCAAGCCUGAUCCAGCCAUGCCGCGUGAGUGAUGAAGGCCCUAGGGUUGUAAAGCUCUUUCACCGGUGAAGAUAAUGACGGUAACCGGAGAAGAAGCCCCGGCUAACUUCGUGCCAGCAGCCGCCGUAACAC